GUCUAUUUUGUAGCCUAGUGGUUAGAGCAUCCGCCUCGGAUGCGGGAGGUCGUGGGUUUGAUGCCCGGUCAAGUCAUACCAAAGACU